UUUCUCUCCCCAGCUCUUGCUCGUAUUUAUUCUGCAUUUCUCGACCUGGCUCUUGCCUUCUUCAUCUGGACCUCUCAGCAGCUGAGCUUCUCGCACACUUCCGCUACUUUUCAAUCGGUCCUCAAAUUUCUCUCCAUGGCCCAUCAGUCACUUAUUUGCUCCUUGCAGGCAGGAAAACUCGUAUUGCUUUCUCGAUUUUCCAACAACUCCUCCGUUCUGCAGCUUUCAAAAUCCAAUCUGAAAUCUGCAAUUCACUUCUCGCUGCUCUGUCUUCCGAGGGGAGAACCUAAAGGAUGCCCGCAAGGUGUUGGAUGAAAUGCUUCAUAGAGGCUUCGCUUUGACUACAGUUGGUUUCGGUGUGUUCGUAUGGCGGUUUUGCAGAAAUGCUCAAGUGGGACAGAUGUUGAAGUUGUUGGAUGAGGAAAGAAAAUAGGAAGAAGAUGAGAAUAUUACUAGGAGAAUCAAUAGGAGGAGCAGUGGUUCUCCUCUUGCACACGAAGAAGCUAGAGUAUUGGGAUGGUGUAAUACUGGUGGCUCCAAUGUGUUUGUUUAUCCAUAUUGGCAGCAAAGAAGUUUUCUUGCUGCAGUAUCCUUGGAGUUGAUAUUGAUCGUGACUAUCUAAUCCCCUACAUCUCCACAACAUUCUUGAAGACAAAUGAUUCAGCAAGUCUCAGCUCAUGCUUUUACAUGCAUCUUAUCGUUUUACAAAUGAAGCAUCAUAUCUAGCUCUAGCUCUGUGUAUCCU